rnacentral:rRNA from 1 species
AGUGAACGUUGGCGGCGUGGAUUAGGCAUGCAAGUCGAGCGAGAACCGUAGCAAUACGGGGACAGCGGCGAAAGGGACAGUAAUGUGUAGGUACCUACCGCCGGGUUCGGGAUAGCUGCGGGAAACUGCAGGUAAUACCGAAUAACGUCUCCGGACCAAAGGUGUGAUCCCACCUGGAGAGGGGCCUGCAUCCUAUUAGCUUGUUGGCGGGGUAACGGCCCACCAAGGCGUCGAUGGGUAGCGGGUGUGAGAGCACGACCCGCGUCAUUGGGACUGAGACACUGCCCAGACACCUACGGGUGGCUGCAGUCGUGAAUCUUCGGCAAUGGGCGCAAGCCUGACCGAGCGACGCCGCGUGCGGGAUGAAGGCCUUCGGGUUGUAAACCGCUGUCGUAGAGGAGGAAAUGCAGGGGGGUUCUCCCCUCUGUUUGACCUAUUCUAGGAGGAAGUACGGGCUAAGUUCGUGCCAGCCGCCGCGGUAA